rnacentral:rRNA from 1 species
UACGUAGGGCGCAAGCGUUGUCCGGAAUUAUUGGGCGUAAAGAGCUCGUAGGCGGUCUGUUACGUCCGCUGUGAAAACCCAGGGCUUAACCCUGGGCUUGCAGUGGAUACGGGUAGACUAGAGGCAGGUAGGGGAGAAUGGAAUUCCCGGUGUAGCGGUGAAAUGCGCAGAUAUCAGGAGGAACACCAAUGGCGAAGGCAGCUCGCUGGGACGUGACUGACGCUGAGACGCGAAAGCGUGGGGAGCAAACAGG